CGUCCUUAAAAUUACGAAGAAAUGAUUUCAACAUCACGAUUUUGAAUUGAUAGUUUAAUAGUUUUCUUGUGAGCAGCAACAUUCUAUCAAGAAAAAGAAAAGCCCAGAAAUAACGUUAUAGAAAAAGAUAACCAGCAGCGACAUUCUAUACAUAAGACAACUAUCUUAAGAUUAAACAAACGUUAACUAAACGAGGAUUUUUUGGGGUUUUUACUUUUUUUAAAUCUAAAAUCAGUGAAUUUGUACAAUCAGGGAUUACGUAGAAUUCCUUGAUUUUUCAGAGAAUAUGUAGAAUCACAAAAAUGAUUAGUUAUUAUGUAUAAUCCACGAAAAUGAACAGUGAUUAUAAGUAAUCCCUGAAAAUGACCAGUAAUUUUACAUUAUCACUGAAGAUUUCAAUAAUUAUUCUACACAUUCCCUAUAUGAUUUCAGGGAUUAUUUUAGGAUCCUUUGUUUGAUAAGAAAAAUUAUUAUAGACAAAUUAUCAUUUUUUUCUUACAUAUUCCUUGCAAGAUAAAAUAAUGUUGCUUUUAUACACAGAGGAUGAUCUUGAAGUUAUAACAAGCACAGGUUUCGAGAUAAAGUUGAAGACUUCAAAAUAAUUAAUAUCAAAAUUCCCUUUAAAGCGAUAAUAAAAUUGUUUAUUUAUUAAAAGACAGCGUCAAAUGGAUAUUCCAAUCCCCAGGGCAUUUUAUGUGUGGUAGAAGAAGAAGAAGAUUAUUGAAUAUCUGUUUUGUCGGGUUUAUUUUUGUUUUUGCUUUUGUUAAAAUGAACAAGAAAUUCCAACUGAGAGAACUUACGCAUCUACAUGUAUAACUAAAGAUUGACAAUAGAAUAAAAUUUAAGAGGAAGCUGGCAUUUGGUGUUAUAUUCUCAUAGCCAUUCCACAGGGUGAUAACGAAAAAUAAAAACAAAAAAACAUAAUGGCAAUAGUUUACAAAAAGUCUAAUAAGGAUACCGCCUUGUCGCAAAAUAUGGGGUCUUGCUCAAACCAGUUCGAGGUUGCUAAUUGUCCUUUUUGGAGGAACCUUCAGAUGUUUUUACUGAAAACAUUAUUUCUCUUAGGCGUGUCAUAAAAAAUCUGGUUCGAUAUGUGAAGGAAAAGUUUUUUUUCAAUGUGGAUAUUGUGGUAAAAGCAGAU
rnacentral:lncRNA from 1 species